rnacentral:rRNA from 1 species
UACGGAGGGCGCGAGCGUUAAUCGGAAUUACUGGGCGUAAAGCGCGCGUAGGCUGUUGUGUAAGUUGGGGGUGAAAUCCCACGGCUCAACCGUGGAACAGCCCUUGAUACUGCGCGACUUGAAUCCGGGAGAGGGUGGCGGAAUUCCAGGUGUAGGAGUGAAAUCCGUAGAUAUCUGGAGGAACAUAAGUGGCGAAGGCGGCCACCUGGACCGGUAUUGACGCUGAGGCGCGAAAGCGUGGGGAGCAAACAGG